UAUGGCUUACUUGUCUCAGGUGGU
rnacentral:siRNA from 1 species